GAAUAUUGGUCAAUGUGCGCAAGCCUGAACCAGCCAUGCCGCGUGCAGGAAGACGGUCCUAUGGAUUGUAAACUGCUUUUAUACAGGAAGAAACCUCACUACGUGUAGGGACUUGACGGUACUGUUGGAAUAAGGAUCGGCUAACUCCGUGCCAGCAGCCGCGGUAAUACGGAGGAUCCAAGCGUUAUCCGGAAUCAUUUGGUUUAAAGGGUCCGUAGGCGGCCUUAUAAGUCAGUGGUGAAAUCUCCUAGCUCAACUAGGAAACUGCCAUUGAUACUGUAGGGCUUGAAUUCUUGUGAAGUAACUAGAAUAUGUAGUGUAGCGGUGAAAUGCUUAGAUAUUACAUGGAAUACCAAUUGCGAAGGCAGGUCACUAACAAACGAUUGACGCUGAUGGACGAAAGCGUGGGGAGCGAACAGG
rnacentral:rRNA from 1 species